rnacentral:rRNA from 1 species
ACGCUGGCGGCGUGCCUAAUACAUGCAAGUAGAACGCUGAAGGAGGAGCUUGCUUCUCUGGAUGAGUUGCGAACGGGUGAGUAACGCGUAGGUAACCUGCCUGGUAGCGGGGGAUAACUAUUGGAAACGAUAGCUAAUACCGCAUAACAGUAGAUGUUGCAUGACAUUUGCUUAAAAGGUGCAAUUGCAUCACUACCAGAUGGACCUGCGUUGUAUUAGCUAGUUGGUGGGGUAACGGCUCACCAAGGCGACGAUACAUAGCCGACCUGAGAGGGUGAUCGGCCACACUGGGACUGAGACACGGCCCAGACUCCUACGGGAGGCAGCAGUAGGGAAUCUCCGGCAAUGGACGGAAGUCUGACCGAGCAACGCCGUGUGAGUGAAGAAGGUUUUCGGAUCGUAAAGCUCUGUUGUAAGAGAAGAACAGGUGUGAGAGUGGAAAGUUCACACUGUGACGGUAUCUUACCAGAAAGGGACGGCUAACUACGUGCCAGCAGCCGCGGUAAUACGUAGGUCCCGAGCGUUGUCCGGAUUUAUUGGGCGUAAAGCGAGCGCAGGCGGUUAGAUAAGUCUGAAGUUAAAGGCUGUGGCUUAACCAUAGUACGCUUUGGAAACUGUUUAACUUGAGUGCAAGAGGGGAGAGUGGAAUUCCAUGUGUAGCGGUGAAAUGCGUAGAUAUAUGGAGGAACACCGGUGGCGAAAGCGGCUCUCUGGCUUGUAACUGACGCUGAGGCUCGAAAGCGUGGGGAGCAAACAGGAUUAGAUACCCCUGGUAGUCCACGCCGUAAACGAUGAGUGCUAGGUGUUAGACCCUUUCCGGGGUUUAGUGCCGCAGCUAACGCAUUAAGCACUCCGCCUGGGGAGUACGACCGCAAGGUUGAAACUCAAAGGAAUUGACG